UACGGGGGGGGCAAGCGUUGUUCGGAAUUACUGGGCGUAAAGGGCUCGUAGGCGGCCAACUAAGUCAGACGUGAAAUCCCCAGGCUCAACCUGGGAACUGCGUCUGAUACUGGAUGGCUUGAAUCCGGGAGAGGGAUGCAGAAUUCCAGGUGUAGCGGUGAAAUGCGUAGAUAUCUGGAGGAAUACCGGAGGCGAAGGCGGCAUCCUGGACCGGCAUUGACGCUGAGGAGCGAAAGCCAGGGGAGCAAACGGG
rnacentral:rRNA from 1 species